CAUGGCACUGCUGAAACUCCGAA
rnacentral:miRNA from 1 species